rnacentral:snRNA from 1 species
GUGCUUGCUUUGGCAGCACAUACACUAAAAUGGGAAUGAUACAGAGAAGAAUAGCAUGGCCCCUGCGCGAGGAUGACAUGCAAAUCCACGAAGCAUUCCAUAUUUUU